rnacentral:rRNA from 1 species
AACGAACGCUGGCGGCAUGCCUAACACAUGCAAGUCGAACGAGACCUUCGGGUCUAGUGGCGCACGGGUGCGUAACGCGUGGGAACCUGCCCUUAGGUUCGGAAUAACUCCCCGAAAGGGGUGCUAAUACCGGAUAAUGUCUUCGGACCAAAGAUUUAUCGCCUUUGGAUGGGCCCGCGUUGGAUUAGCUAGUUGGUAGGGUAAAAGCCUACCAAGGCGACGAUCCAUAGCUGGUCUGAGAGGAUGAUCAGCCACACUGGGACUGAGACACGGCCCAGACUCCUACGGGAAGCAGCAGUGGGGAAUAUUGGACCAUGGGCGAAAGCCUGAUCCAGCAAUGCCGCGUGAGUGAUGAAGGCCUUAGGGUUGUAAAGCUCUUUUACCCGGGAUGAUAAUGACAGUACCGGGAGAAUAAGCUCCGGCUAACUCCGUG